rnacentral:rRNA from 1 species
AGCUUCAGUAGCGUAUAUUAAAGUUGCUGCAGUUAAAAAGCUCGUAGUUGCAUUUCCGAGGCAAGGGAUUAGUCCGACCUUUGGUGGGUAUUUAAUCCUCUUGCCUCGUCCUUGAGUGGUGCUUCUUGGUAUUAAGUUAUCGAGGAGAUAGCCGCUCAUCGUUUACUGUGAGAAAAUUAGAGUGUUCAAAGCAGGCUUAUGCCGUUGAAUAUAUUAGCAUGGAAUAAUAAGAUAGGACCUCGGUACUAUUUUGUUGGUUUGAGAACCAAGGUAAUGAUGAAUAGGGACAGUUGGGGGUAUUCGUAUUCAGUUGUCAGAGGUGAAAUUCUUAGAUUUACGGAAGACGAACUACUGCGAAAGCAUUUACCAAGGAUGUUUUCA